AAUAAAACAUAUAUAAUUCAUAUCUAUGUACAAAAAAUUAUAAUCCUCUUGCGUGAAACAAUUAUAACUUAUUCUUUUAUGUAUUUUUGUUUUUUAAAUAAGAAUAUUAUUAACAUUUUUUUAAAUCUAAUAAGCAAGGUAUUAUAAAAAAAAGAUUAUAACACUUUGUAACCUAGUAUUCAGAAGACUAAAAAAAUAUGUGGUCAACAUAAAUGAUCAAAAGAUACAAAAAUUAUCUUAGGUCUCUUUUUUGUAACAUUCAAUAUAAUAUGUUUCACAAAAAAAGAACACACUUUGAUAUAAAAUAUAAUCAAAAUUUUACAAAAAUACAAGCAUUUACACAUAUCCCCACAAGAACCUUAUUAAAUAGUACUACAAGUACAAUUAUGCCAUAUACAUCAUCAUCAAUAAUAAUUUUAAAUUGAUACUUCACAAAAUAAAAAGCAAUUACGAAACCGAUUCGACAGACAGGUAAAACAUUAAAACAUUGACUGGUUUAAAUCAUUGAUGUAUGUUUUUAUAGAGGAAAUCUAAAAUUUUACAAAACUGUCACCAUCCAGUCAAACAGAUCGAAAUUCGAAAAAAAAUGUUAAUAGAGGACUAAAUAUUACUGGAUAUAGUUUUGUUGGUUGUUACAAAAACUUACUUCAUGCUGAGUGCUAAGUAACCGAUGGGUACAUGUUGUUGACGAUAAAAAUGAUGAAAUAUUAUCAAUGUUACACGCCUGAUUUUUUUGUUCUACCAAUAUUUUUAAUUUCACUAUCCUAUGUUCGUCCAAAUCAAACGGAGCCACUGCGAGAAAAGCGUCAGACAUUUUAGUCAAACGGCAGGCCGGCAACUAUAAACGCUCACCAAUUCGGGAGAAACAAGGGAUGCCAAUGUUUGAGGAAUAAACAAAGAACAACCACUAAAUACAAUAAUGCCACGUUAACUGACCAGGAAUUUGAUUCAUUGACCAUUUCUACCCCCGCCAGUUCUUGGAAGUGAACUUUCAACGUUCUGGUCUUUGAACAUUUAUGCAUCUUUAUGUAUUAAGUAGAAUUUAAAUGCAAAAAUCUAUAUAAUGCACGUAAUAUAUAAAAAUAUUCGAAAUAAAAUACUAGAAAUAUAAUACUACUCGUUACAAUAUUUAAAUGGUGAAACAAAUUUAUAUUCAAAUUCUAUUUUUUUAGUUAUAAUCAUAAAAAUAUAAACUUGUAUAAAUAUCCACAGUUCACUGAUAUUACGCAUACAAAAUAAACAAAUGUAUCAAGUAUCUAUAUCUCACUCACAUUCAUUGACAAAAAGAAAUACUUGGAAUGUCUUAAAAUACUUCUCUUGAUAAUUGGCCAGAUACAGUCCAGAUCCGUGGUCAGUUAGCGAAACAUUACUGUAUAUAUAUUUCGAUUCGAUCGAUGAUUAUUUGAAUUAAUUUAAUUGUAUCUAUAAUGAAAUUAUACAAAGUUUCAAUGGAAAUAUUCAUGUGUAAAAGAGAAUCUUUUACAAACAAUACUUUUAAUCAAAUCUUUUGAUUUUAUACUUAUGUUUAUUAUAAUUUAACAUUGUUACGUUACAUCUGAUUUUUAUUUAAACGACUUCAAAUAUUUCACAAUUAACUAUUGUAACGACCGUCAUGUUCUCUCCUUAAAAAUUAAUAUAUCAAAAAGAUGUCAAGAUAAAGAUACACGUUCCUAAUAUGAAUUUAAGUGCAUUAUACAAUUAAUACAUAUAUUAAUCUUCCAUUUCUGAUGGAUCACCACCCAUCGCUUUCCAAAAAGCAGUAA